rnacentral:lncRNA from 1 species
UGGAUGUGACAUUCUGAGAGUCCGAGGCAUUCUUUAGCAGUGAUCCUGUGGAUGUGCCCACUAAUCAACCUACUGUUGUAUCCGACUUUCUCUUCUCUUUCGAUAUUUUGUUUGAUUUCACCAGUUGUGAGUGGGAGUCAAAGGAGAUAGAGUCUGAGGAGCAGGAGUAGUCAAAUAGUAAUUCUGAUCGAUAGAGGGAGCAGCAGUCUUCUCUACAUGUUACAGAGCCUGUUCCAUGUGUUAUAGAGCCUGGUAUGUAUUCUCCUACU